rnacentral:misc_RNA from 1 species
GUUAAUAUCAAGUUCAGUAACAUUUUCUUUUCUUCUCAAAAAUCAAAUUACCUUAUUAUUUCGUGAAACUGUCCUAUCAAUUUUAUAUGCUUCUGGUUUCUGUUUCUCCAAAUCUUCUGUUUGCUCAUAUGAUUGAAUUAUGAUUCUGGUUUCUUGUCCUCCUCCAUAGUUUCUGAUCAUUUUCCAUGAUUUUUUUUAUUCCAUAUCUUUUUUUGCAUUCCUAUCAUCAUUGCUCUAU